rnacentral:rRNA from 1 species
AACGAACGCUGGCGGCAUGCCUAACACAUGCAAGUCGAACGAGACCUUCGGGUCUAGUGGCGCACGGGUGCGUAACGCGUGGGAACCUGCCCUUAGGUUCGGAAUAACUCCCCGAAAGGGGUGCUAAUACCGGAUAAUGUCUUCGGACCAAAGAUUUAUCGCCUGUGGAUGGGCCCGCGUUGGAUUAGCUUGUUGGUAGGGUAAAGGCCUACCAAGGCGAUGAUCGGUAGCUGGUCUGAGAGGAUGAGAGGACAAACUGGGACGGAGAUACGGCCCAGACUACGAUGGGAGGCAGCGGUGGGGAAGAUGGUAAAAGGGGCGGAAGCAGGAGGUAGCAACGCAGCGUGCGGGAAGACGGGCAGCGGGUUGGAAACCGAUGUCGCCUGUGACGAAGGGGUAGUGACGGUAACGGGUAAAGAAGCACCGGCUAACUACGUG